AGCUGAAGAUGUUCGACUUAUUUUUGGCUCCACCUAUGUCUAAUUUGAACUUGACAGAUCUCCUGUUGCCACGAUUUCAUCAAGCAUCCGGUCAGAAACGAGAGGACAUCAAACGCUAGGUUGCGUACCCAUUGUAUGUGGAGGGUAAAUACACCCAUGCUUUGGCGUACCUUUGCCUCAGCGGCCGCUUUUAUCACACGUUUACAUAUUUUCUUCAGUCCUCCGUUCGACAGACUAUUAAUGCUUAUUUUAUUCACUAUAUCAUCUUCAGCAGGCAUCUGAUUGUACCUCGAUUCUUCACAUUGAAAAGUUCUUCUAGCUGUGAGACUCGUGUUCACUUAAACCAAUUAUAAAACGUCAACUAGGAAAGUUAAACAGUGAACUUCAUGUUUAUCUCUGAGAUGGGCUCUCGCGUGAAGAUGCCUCCAACAUCGUAGCCAAGUUUCGACACUCUACUAGACAAAUGACAAGCCUGUCGAUAAUUACCCGCCUUUUUCUCCAAUUCCGAAGAUCCCACUUAGAAGUAUAACUUGCACCAGCUUACACAUUCCUCUGUAUGUCUGCAGCCAAGUAGGACUUGCUUGUUGGAAAAGGAAAUCCACCUGAAAAUUAUUCCACUCAUAGAACAUCUACAACUGAACGUUUCGAACACGAAUUUAGACAUAUGGAAAGGCUGUCUACAAUCGCACAGCUAGUGUCUUUUCGAUUGAUUCUCGUUGCUGUUUUGAUAACUUGGAUUUCACCAACGCUAUGUAAAACUAUUCACCAUCAGCACACAACUAAAUUAUGCGGUCUCUAUGCGUAUGAGGGAGACAACAUAGCGUUCCGUUGCCCAGAAAAGUUGGAAUUUCCAAUGGCAGACCGAUUCCAUCCCACUGUUGAAUGGUACUUCAAUGAUGGAAUUAUGGAUAGAAAAAACCAUCGAAGACUACGCUUCUCGAUCCGUCGAAACUCCAUUCACAUCGAUAAUGUUCAACGGGAAGAUGAAGGUGUCUGGGCUGCAAGACCGCGUUCUCCAGAGCAAUUCCAGCACGAUAUUAGUGAUUCUCGUUCAAAGACGUUGGCUACCUGUAAUUUCACGCUAGGAGUUCUAGAAAAUCCCAAAAAUCCUAGAUCACCUCCUAGAGACAGUCAAAUUUGGACGUCAGCCUGGGAAGGAAAAUCAUUUGAGCUUGUGCAGGAAAUAAAAGAUCUCCCAUUCAUUGAAAGUGACCGCAGUAAUUUAUCGUUCCAGAAUAGACGAAUUGGCGAACAAAAAAAAGGUCUGCGAUUGAUAGCGAAACGUAUUGGAGAGUCGUUGGCCCUUAAAUGUCCUAGUUAUGAUUAUAGAUCCUCUUCGCAGCCGAUAAUUGAAUGGAGAAAAAAUGGGAAAACAAUUCGGCGUUCGAAAAAUCGAAAUCAAUGGCUGCUAAAAAUUCAAGCGUUAAAAAAAAAAGAUUCCGGCGAAUACGAAUGUGUUAUAUCUAAUAUCCACAACAGUGCGAAUUUUACCUUCCACUUAACAGUGCUACGUAAAGAUGCCUUGCUGAAACCGAAAUUGUUGGGAACGCAGAACGUGACAGUCCGGGUUGGAGACACUGCCCGUCUCAACUGUAACAUGGCAUCUCGGGAUCGCGGCUUUUCCACUGUCGAGUGGCUACUCCAGACCAGUAUCAAUGGAUCCAAUGUCGACUCUACGGGGGCUCCCUUUUUUGAAAUUCUAGAUGUAGAUUAUUCCGACGGGAAAGAUAGACGAGUUCUUUCGAUAGAGAACGUCACGUAUGAAGACGACGGAAAAUACUUUUGUGUGGUGAAAAACCAGCAUGGAACAUUCGUUCAAAGUUCUUGGCUAAUCGUGACGUAGAAGAUAUCUUUUUUAACGAGUUUACUUACCAAGUUUCCACGGUCGGCUCAGUGUGUGGGGUUGUUUUUAUAUUAUCUAUUGCUAUUCUCUUCGUGUUAGUCAGGUCAAAGUGCAGACGCCAAAGGGAAAGACGAAGAGCUGAUACUCGUAA
rnacentral:misc_RNA from 1 species